rnacentral:misc_RNA from 1 species
CCGAGAGUUGGCCUGGGUAGGCCAACCGAAACAAAACUGCCCCCCGACGACGUCUCAUGAUUGCGCUCCCCGCGUCAGGGUCCUUGGGGAGACGUUCAGAAUAAAUCCCCGCGAAAGAAAAGCAUUAUGCGAUGUCGGCCGAGGGGCGUCUCGCCGAGCUUUGCUAAGCUCGAAACAAAGCGUACCCCACACAUUUCAACCCCAAACAAACUCUGAAUCUGAACUCAAAGGGAGGGCGCGCGCGCAUUUAUUCAAUGCCGCGAAGCCUUCCCAACCUUUAACGUU